rnacentral:ncRNA from 1 species
UUCCUCUGAUGUUUCCCUUAGAAUGAACUACUAUUGUAGGUGAAUUGUUUUAUUAGAAAUCGUUUUAUUAGAAAAAGUGACUGAUUAGAGGUCUUGGGAAAAAAAUGAUCUCAACCUUUUCUCAAACUUUAAAUGGGUAGGAAGCCCGGCUUGCUGGUAUAGAGCUGGGUGUGGAAUGAAGGUGCCCAGCGAGCUACUUUUGGUUCAGCAGAAGUGGUACUGCAGGAUGCACAGAAUGUUAGUGAAGGCGCCUGCUGUGGAUACUCAUUAGACCCCAGGAAAGGUAUUGGUUGUUACAGACAGCAGGACAGUAGCCAUUAAAGUCAGAAUCUGCUAAGGAGUGUAUAACAACUGACCUGUGGAUGCAUCUGACCCUGAAAAUGGAUGGCACUGGGCCACCAGGCCCAUAUUCGGCCUUCUUAGGCAGUGGACACACUAGAGACGCUGGCAGGAAAAGGGCCUUAGCAGCCUGGAUCCCCCUCAUGCAUGCCAGGGUGUGACAAGCAAGGCAGCUGCAGUACAGCUUGAAGCCUAGGUAUGGGCCUGGGUGGAGCUGUAGAUG